GACGAACGCUGGCGGCGUGCUUAACACAUGCAAGUCGAACGGAAAGACCCUGCUUUUGUGGGGUGCUCGAGUGGCGAACGGGUGAGUAACACGUGAGUAACCUGCCCUUGACUUUGGGAUAACUUCAGGAAACUGGGGCUAAUACCGGAUAGGAGCUCCUGCUGCAUGGUGGGGGUUGGAAAGUUUCGGCGGUUGGGGCUGGACUGGCGGCUGAUCAGCUUGUUGGUGGGGUAGUGGCUUACCAAGGCUUUGACGGGUAGCCGGCCUGAGAGGGUGACCGGCCACAUUGGGACUGAGAUACGGCCCAGACUGCUACGGGAGGCAGCAGUGGGGAAUAUUGCACAAUGGGCGGAGGCCUGAUGCAGCAACGCCGCGUGCUGGAUGAAGGCCUUUGGGUUGUAAACCGCUUUCGCCUGUGACGAAGCGUGAGUGACGGUAAUGGGUAAAGAAGCACCGGCUAACUACGUG
rnacentral:rRNA from 1 species